rfam:Anopheles culicifacies strain species A-37_1 cont1.22824, whole genome shotgun sequence.
AGCUUUGCGCAGUGGCGAUAUCGUAACCAAUGAGGUACAACCGAGGUGCGAUUAUUGCUAGUUGAAAACUAAUAAUUAUUAUUUUAUGUUUUCAAAAUACUUUUUAUUUAUUGUAACAAUUAAGACUUCUCUUCAAG